GCCCGAAGCCGAUUAUCUAACCUUUUGGAAGAAGUCGUCGAAGGUGGAAUCAAUAACUGGGGUGAAGUCGUAACAAGGUAGCCGUAUCGGAAGGGGCGGCUGGAUCACCUCCUUU
rnacentral:rRNA from 1 species